CCAAAGUCUUGGGAUUACAGGCAUGAGCCACCGCACCCGGCCCAGAAUUUCUGAUUUAAUUGUUCUGGGAUUUUUGAGGCUCCCUGGGGGAUGCUCAGGUACACCCAGGGCUGAGAACCAGAGUUCAGAGAGCUGCAGAGGUUUUCUCUGCCCGGCUUGCCCUGACCAGGAGUCCCAAGUGUGGAGUGCCUUGCACCUGCCCACAUCCCUAGGAGGAUUCCAAGAUGGCACGACCUCCAGGGUUUAGAUACCAGGCAGGGGAGCUUUAGAGGGCCGACCAGGAAAUGGGCAGAGCUCAAGUUAAAGGGAAGGAGGAAUUUCCACCACUCAGCUAGGGGUCAGGCUGUCCCCAGAGACUCCUGGCUCCCAUCAGUGGAUGUGCCAGGGUGCCUGUGAAAGGGCAGGAGGUCAGACCAGAAAACAUGCCAAGUGCUCCUCCAGCAAUCAGAUUCUGAAAUUCUGCCUAGCAAGG
rnacentral:lncRNA from 1 species